rnacentral:snRNA from 1 species
AUGCUCGCUUCGGCAGCACAUAUACUAAAAUUGGAAUGAUACAGAGAAGAUUAACACGAUCCCUGCGCAAGGAUGACAUGCAAAUUCAUGAAGCGUUCCAUAUUUUU